GCUCUUGUAGCUCAAUGGAUAGAGCGACACUCUCCUAAAGUGUAGGUUGACCGUUCGAGUCGGUCCAAGAGCG
rnacentral:tRNA from 1 species